UUGGUGAAGACCUAGUGGCGAACGGGUGCGUAACACGUGAGAAACCUGCCCCGGUCUCUGGAAUAACAGUUGGAAACGGCUGCUAAUACCGGAUGCCGUCGGACCAUCGCAUGGUGGACCGACGAAAGGGUUACCGGACCGGGAGGGUCUCGCGGCCUAUCAGCUAGUUGGUGAGGUAGUGGCUCACCAAGGCGACGACGGGUAGCCGGCCUGAGAGGGCGACCGGCCACACUGGGACUGAGACACGGCCCAGACUCCUACGGGAGGCAGCAGUGGGGAAUAUUGCGCAAUGGGCGAAAGCCUGACGCAGCAACGCCGCGUGCGGGAUGAAGGCCUUCGGGUUGUAAACCGCUUUCAGCAGGGAAGAAGCGAAAGUGACGGUACCUGCAGAAGAAGCACCGGCUAACUACGUGCCAGCAGCCGCGGUAAUACGUAGGGUGCAAGCGUUGUCCGGAUUUAUUGGGCGUAAAGAGCUCGUAGGCGGUUAGUCGCGUCGGAUGUGAAAACCCAGUGCUUAACACUGGGCCUGCAUUCGAUACGGGCUGACAAGAGUGUUGUAGGGGAGACUGGAACUCCUGGUGUAGCGGUGAAAUGCGCAGAUAUCAGGAAGAACACCGGUGGCGAAGGCGGGUCUCUGGGCAACUACUGACGCUGAGGAGCGAAAGCGUGGGGAGCAAACAGGAUUAGAUACCCCUGUAGUCCUGGCCGUAAACGAUGAACACU
rnacentral:rRNA from 1 species